GAUGAACGCUGGCGGCGUGCCUAAUACAUGCAAGUCGAGCGAACAGACGAGGAGCUUGCUCCUCGGACGUUAGCGGCGGACGGGUGAGUAACACGUGGAUAACCUACCUAUAAGACUGGGAUAACUUCGGGAAAGCGGAGCUAAUACCGGAUAAUAUAUUGAACCGCAUGGUUCAAUAGUGAAAGACGGUUUUGCUGUCACUUAUAGAUGGAUCCGCGCCGCAUUAGCUAGUUGGUAAGGUAACGGCUUACCAAGGCAACGAUGCGUAGCCGACCUGAGGGGGUGAUCGGCCACACUGGAACUGAGACGCGGUCCAGACUCCUACGGGAGGCAGCAGUAGGGAAUCUUCCGCAAUGGGCGAAAGCCUUACGGAGCAACGCCGCGUGAGUGAUGAAGGUCUUCGGAUCGUAAAACUCUGUUAUUAGGGAAGAACAAAUGUGUAAGUAACUAUGCACGUCUUGACGGUACCUAAUCAGAAAGCCACGGCUAACUACGUG
rnacentral:rRNA from 1 species